rnacentral:rRNA from 1 species
AGUGAACGCUGGCGGUAGGCCUAACACAUGCAAGUCGAACGGCAGCACAGUAAGAGCUUGCUCUUACGGGUGGCGAGUGGCGGACGGGUGAGGAAUACAUCGGAAUCUACUUUUUCGUGGGGGAUAACGUAGGGAACCUUACGCUAAUACCGCAUACGACCUACGGGUGAAAGCAGGGGAUCUUCGGACCUUGCGCGAUUGAAUGAGCCGAUGUCGGAUUAGCUAGUUGGCGGGGUAAAGGCCCACCAAGGCGACGAUCCGUAGCUGGUCUGAGAGGAUGAUCAGCCACACUGGAACUGAGACACGGUCCAGACUCCUACGGGAGGCAGCAGUGGGGAAUAUUGGACAAUGGGCGCAAGCCUGAUCCAGCCAUACCGCGUGGGUGAAGAGGGCCUUCGGGUUGUAAAGCCCUUUUGUUGGGAAAGAAAAGCAGCAGGUUAAUACCCCGCUGUUCUGACGGUACCCAAAGAAUAAGCACCGGCUAACUUCGUG